rnacentral:rRNA from 1 species
GUCGAGAAUCUUUCACAAUGGGGGCAACCCUGAUGGAGCGACGCCGCGUGGAGGAUAAGGUCUUCGGAUUGUAAACUCCUGUCAUGCGUGAACAAGGUUGCUUGGUUAAUACCUGGGCAAAUUGAUGGUAACGCAAGAGGAAGAGACGGCUAACUCUGUGCCAGCAGCCGCGGUAAUACAGCGGUCUCAAGCGUUGUUCGGAAUCACUGGGCGUAAAGGGUGCGUAGGUGGCGUGGUAAGUCAGAUGUGAAAGCCCGGGGCUCAACCUCGGAACUGCAUCCGAUACUGCCAUGCUAGAGUACUGGAGAGGUGACUAGAAUUCUCGGUGUAGCAGUGAAAUGCGUAGAUAUCGAGAGGAAUACCAAAGGCGUAGGCAGGUCACUGGACAGUUACUGACACUGAGGCACGAAGGCCAGGGGAGCGAACGGGAUUAGAAACCCGAGUAGUCC